AAAGACAUCUUUGAAUUCUUGGAG
rnacentral:miRNA from 1 species